UGUGUUACUUUUAUACAUAUUCAAGUAGAUCAAAUCUUUCACAAAGUUCUUUGUAUGUUACUUUUAUACAUAUUCACUUCCCUUCAAGCAUCAACUUUGGUGCUGCCUCUUUUCUAAGUGUUAUUUCUUUUACCACAACUAAAUAACAUGUGCUUUCUUGAUGAGUUAGAGAGCCUAAGAAUACCCUUUGGUGAUAUUAAAGAAGCCACUAAAAACUUCACUACGAUUAUCGGAAAAGGGGGAUAUGGCUUGGUUUACAAAGGAGAACUUUUACUUAAUGGUAAACUAACCAGUGUAGCUAUUAAGAGAUUAGAUGGUAACAAUAUAUCUGGUCAAGGGUUUAAGGAGUUCUUAACAGAGAUUCAAUUGCUCACUCGUUAUAAACACCCAAACCUUAUCGCGCUGAUCGGUUUUUGUGACCAAGAUAAUGAGAAAAUCCUCAUUUAUGAGCAUGCAGAACAUGGAAGCCUAGACAAGUACUUGACUACUGCUGAAAACAGGUCUAAACUGACAUGGAAGCAACGGAUCAAUAUAUGCGUCAACGCAGCCCGUGGUUUGAAUUUUCUUCAUAGCGAAGUUGCAAGGAAUGAAAGAGUUAUCCACAGGGAUAUUAAAUGUGCAAAUAUUUUGCUGGAUCGAAAUUGGAAAGCGAUGGUUUCAGAUCUUGGGCUAUCAAAAUUAGGCCGUGCUAACGAGAAAGACACUUACCUCAUUACUAAUGCUUCUGGAACACAUGGUUACUGUGAUCCGGUAUAUAUUAGUUCAGGGAUUCUUACAAAAGAAUCAGAUGUCUAUUCAUUUGGUGUUGUAUUGUUUGAAGUCUUAUGUGGGAGGUUGUGCUUUAUAAAUGUAAACAAUGAACACCGGUUUCUACCUCCCUUGGCCCAACGCUACUGCAAGUUAGGUAAAAUAGACGAGAUCAUGGAUCCUGUGUUGAAGAACCAGAUUGACUCAGAUUCUUUAAAUAAGUUUUCGAAGAUUGCAUUUCAAUGCUUGCAGAAUAAUCGCAAAAGAAGGCCCUCAAUGAGUAUGGUGGUAAAGAAACUUGAGGAACUUGAAAGAGCAUUGGAAUUCCAAGUAAGUUCAUAUGCCUUAAUCACAUUGAAUUUGUUUCUGUAUUUAUUAGAGAUACCUUUAUGUUUAUAUAUGCUAAAUUGCAAUUCUCUAGAUUUGCAUUUAUAUAUUAUAUGAUACAGCCACACAAAGACACGAACCAGUUAUCAGGAGGUGAACCUCCAAACGAGCCUACAAAAUCCGGAGUCCUUGUAUAAAGCAGAUAAUGUAGAACCUGAUCAACAUAAAUCAGAACACAUGUUAAUAUCGGAGAUUGCUAAAUUUACUGAUAACGGAUGUUUGGAAGAUUUUGUAUUAUUGGCUGAUUAUGUAUUUUCUCCGUAUUGUAACGUUAUUCCUCAAUUUUCAGUCUGUAACAAGUUGGAAGUUUCACUUUGCAACAAGUUGGAAGUUUGACUUUGCGAAAAGUUUUGUACUACUUUACCUAUGAAAAGUUGAAGCAAUGCAUGUCAUGUCAUGUGUACGCUUUUAGUCA